rnacentral:lncRNA from 10 species
UUUCUAAUACUACCAUUAACAAACGUUUGUGAGACAUAUGGAGACCUGGGACCACUUUAUCACCUAUAGUCAGUAUUACUUCAGUGCUUACUUCAGUGCUUAAUUAUUUCAAUACUGAGGCUCCUUUAUAAGGAGCCCAAGGUCAUUGACUCAGCAUCAGUGUAUCAUCAAUUUAGUUUCCCUGAUAGUCCGGCUCUGACCCCAGUUUCUUCGUUUGUUCCUCCUGAACCGUGGGUAAAUGACCUACCUCUUCUGGGCCUUGGCUUUCUUAUACAUAAAAUGUGAUUAAAAAUACCUUAUUUGUAGUACUUCUGUGGGGACUAAAUGAGAUGGUAGCUGUAAAAAGCUUAGGACAUAAGUCACUUAAUACAUGGUAUCAUUACUUCAUCAUCAGCUCUUCACCUUCAAAAAGUUCCCUCUUGUAGACUGUCCUUACACAGAGUGCAGGUAGCUAAGAGCAGCUUGUAUUGUAUACCCUACAUUUUCUAGUCUGUCCAGAGAAGGAUGAGAAUUUAAUAGGGCCAGAUCCUCAGAGGGAUGCAUUUCUGGUAGAAUUUUGUGCAUUAGUAGUUGAAUGGAAGUGCCAUUGUGAGCUUCAUGGCUUCCAAUAUUAUUCCACUUAAGGAAUUGGCCUGUCUUGCCUUUGGACUGUUGGGUUUUGGGAAAUGUGAAUUUUUGAUUAUCAGGAUAACAACUCACCCAUUCAUUCUUUCUUUCCCCCGCUUCUGGUCUUUGUUAACUCUCCUCUGUCCUGUAGUGCUGCCUUAUCUUCUGCAAAUACCAAGUAAUUUGGAAUAUGGCACUUUGGUUAAGAUUGUUUGAUAUUUGCAUGUAUCUGCUAAACACGCUUUAAUUAUGAUUCAUGACUAGCUCUGGAUUAAAAUUGUAUUUCUGAAUUUAAGGUUUAAAAAAUUGGAAUGCUAUUAUAGGCCUUUGGUAAGUUUGUGUUGCUAAUAGUGAAUUAUGAAGCGCAAACAUUUCUGAGAUACAAUCCUGUAAUUCUUUCAUUCUUUGGGAUGGGGGGAGUGGGGAGGGAUAGCAUUAACAUGUUAAAUGACGAGUUAAUGGGUGCAGCACAGCAACAUGGCACAUGUAUACAUAUGUAACUAACCUGCACAUUGUGCACAUGUACCCUAAAACUUAAAGUAUAAUAAAAAAAUGAUUCUGUGUGUAUAAAGAUCAAAAGAC